GUUGAUCCACCGGAGACGGCAGCUUUUGCCACACCGAAGAAGGCCGGCGGCUUUGGGGAGAGAUCUCCAGCAGCCUUCGCCAUGAGCUUUGAUGUAUGCUGUGAGCCUCUCGUCCUCUUCUUUCGUCCAUGCUCCUUUGUUUGUGUGAGCUUUCUCACAACAUGGUGACCUUCCCAUACUUUUUCUUUCUGUUUUCUGUGUUUAGAUCUUAUUAUUUCUUGAUAUGAAAAUCUUGCAUAUAUAAAUAUAAAGAGGUAUGAAUUAAUCAAGUGUGUUUAUGUUACUUUAUAUGUAUACUGGGAAUUGGCUUUUAGCGAGGGUUUUGGCUAAAAGGGACUAACUUGUUUUUUUUUUUGUAGUGGAAGAUGAUUAAGGCAUUUGGUGGGGCACUUGGAUUUUGGGUUUGGUUGAAGGU
rnacentral:lncRNA from 1 species